rnacentral:rRNA from 1 species
AUACGGAGGAUGCGAGCGUUAUCCGGAUUUAUUGGGUUUAAAGGGUGCGUAGGCUGUGCGUUAAGUCAGGGGUGAAAUGCCGUCGCUCAACGACGGAGCUGCCCUUGAUACUGGCGUGCUGGAGUACGGAUGCCGUUGGAGGAAUGAGUGGUGUAGCGGUGAAAUGCUUAGAUAUCACUCAGAACACCGAUUGCGAAGGCAUCUGACGAAUCCGUCACUGACGCUGAGGCACGAAAGCGUGGGGAUAGAACAGGAUUAGAUACCCUGGUAUUCCACGCCGUAAACGAUGAUGACUAACCGUCGGCGAUAGACAGCCGGUGGCCAAGCGAAAGCGAUAAGUCAUCCACCUGGGGAGUACGUCGGCAACGAUGAAACUUAAAGGAAUCGGCGGGG